AGAACGACUCUCGGCAACGGAUAUCUCGGCUCUCGCAUCGAUGAAGAACGUAGCGAAAUGCGAUACUUGGUGUGAAUUGCAGAAUCCCGUGAACCAUCGAGUUUUUGAACGCAAGUUGCGCCCCAAGCCUCCGGGCCGAGGGCACGCCUGCCUGGGCGUCACGC
rnacentral:rRNA from 1 species